UACGAAGGGGGCUAGCGUUGUUCGGAAUUACUGGGCGUAAAGCGCGCGCAGGCGGUCUUUCAAGUCAGUGGUGAAAGCCUGGAGCUCAACUCCAGAACUGCCAUUGAAACUGCAAGACUUGAGUACGAGAGAGGUGAGUGGAAUUCCCAGUGUAGAGGUGAAAUUCGUAGAUAUUCGCAAGAACACCAGUGGCGAAGGCGGCUCACUGGCCCGAUACUGACGCUGAGGCACGAAAGCGUGGGGAGCAAACAGG
rnacentral:rRNA from 1 species